rnacentral:rRNA from 1 species
AUACGGAGGGUGCAAGCGUUGUUCGGAAUUACUGGGCGUAAAGCGCGUGCAGGCGGUUUGGUAAGUCAGAUGUGAAAGCCCUGGGCUCAACCCGGGAAGUGCAUUUGAAACUGCCUUUCUUGAGUAUGGGAGAGGCGAGUGGAAUUCCCAGUGUAGAGGUGAAAUUCGUAGAUAUUGGGAGGAACACCCGUGGCGAAGGCGACUCUCUGGACCAAUACUGACGCUGAGACGCGAAAGCGUGGGGAGCAAACAGGAUUAGAUACCCCAGUAGUCC